rnacentral:rRNA from 1 species
GAUGAACGCUAGCUACAGGCUUAACACAUGCAAGUCGAGGGGUAACAAGAGAAAAGCUUGCUUUUCUUGUUGACGACCGGCGCACGGGUGAGUAACGCGUAUCCAACCUGCCUAUAACUAGGGAAUAACCUUGCGAAAGUAAGACUAAUACCCUAUGAUUUCCUUUGAUGACAUCAGAUUAGGAAUAAAGAUUUAUCGGUUAUAGAUGGGGAUGCGUCUGAUUAGCUUGUUGGCGGGGUAACGGCCCACCAAGGCAACGUUCAGUAGGGGUUCUGGGGGGAAGGUCCCCCACAUUGGAACUGAGACACGGUCCAAACUCCUACGGGAGGCAGCGGUGAGGAAUAUUGGUCAAUGGGCGGAAGCCUGAACCAGCCAAGUAGCGUGAAGGAUGACGGCCCUAUGGGUUGUAAACUGCUUUUAUACAGGAAUAAAGUUAGCCACGUGUGGUUAUUUGUAGGUACUGUAUGAAUAAGGACCGGCUAAUUCCGUGCCAGCAGCCGCCGUAA